CAUGAAUAGAAGAACAUGGUAGAGACAAUCAUUCUGUAUAUGAACUCCCAGGUUCUGUAUAUGUACUCCCAGAUACUGUAUAUGUACUCCCAGGUUCUGUAUAUGUACUCCCAGGUUCUGUAUAUGUACUCCCAGAUACUGUAUAUGUACUCCCAGGUUCUGUAUAUGUACUCCCAGGUUCUGUAUAUGAACUCCCAGGUUCUGUAUAUGAACUCCCAGGUUCUGUAUAUGAACUUCCAGGUUCUGUAUAUGUACUCCCAGGUUCUGUAUAUGUACUCCCAGGUUCUGUAUAUGAACUCCCAGGUUCUGUAUAUGAACUCCCAGGUUCUGUAUAUGUACUCCCA
rnacentral:lncRNA from 1 species